rnacentral:rRNA from 1 species
UACGUAGGGACCAAGCGUUGUUCGGAUUUACUGGGCGUAAAGGGCGCGUAGGCGGCAAUUCAAGUCAUCUGUGAAAUCUCCGGGCUUAACCCGGAACGGUCAGAUGAUACUGCUUUGCUAGAGUGCGGAAGGGGCAAUCGGAAUUCUUGGUGUAGCGGUGAAAUGCGUAGAUAUCGGGAGGAACACCGGUGGCGAAGGCGGUUCUCUGGGCCGACACUGACGCUGAGGAGCGAAAGCGUGGGGAGCGAACAGG